rnacentral:rRNA from 1 species
UACGUAGGGGGCAAGCGUUGUCCGGAUUAUUGGGCGUAAAGAGCGUGUAGGCGGCUUUGCAAGUCCGUUGUGAAAACUCGAGGCUCAACCUCGAGACGCCGGUGGAAACUGCAAAGCUAGAGUCCGGAAGAGGAGAGUGGAAUUCCUGGUGUAGCGGUGAAAUGCGCAGAUAUCAGGAAGAACACCCGUGGCGAAGGCGGCUACCUGGACAGAAACUGACGCUGAGGCACGAAAGCUAGGGGAGCAAACAGG